AGCUUUGCACAGUGGCAGUAUCGUAGCCACUGAGGUUUAUCCAAGGCACGAUUAUUGCUAAUUGAAAACUUUUCCCAAUACCCCACCACGACGGCUUGAAAUAUAGUCAGCAUUGGCAAUUUUUGACAGUCUCUACGGAGA
rnacentral:snRNA from 1 species